rnacentral:lncRNA from 1 species
UCCUGCCAGAGGCUGAUUGAAUAUCCUCAACUCAACACCAAGUUGCAUCAGUUUAAAAAUGAAACUUCCUCACCACCAAAUACAGUACUGGUAAUUAGGUAGACUGUUAAUAAGAGCAAAAGCAAUCAGAUAGUCUGAGUUUGAGUGUGUUGAGCAUCAUGGGAGCUGCAAGAUGACAGGCGCACCCCAGAGUGGGGAACUGAACCAAAGUCUGGGAUUAGUUAAAGGACCUGACCAUCGGACCUGGAAAUGUCAAACUAGCAGACACAUCUUACUGUUUUUCAUCUGCUCUUGGUAUGACUUCCAGGGCUAGGCGAGGGGAAAGCCAAGACUGAAGCAGACCGUGCGUUUCUAAUUACCUCGGUGACCUGGCCUCUCCGCAAUGAGUCAGGAGGACGAGAACACGAGAAGGCAAAAAACCAUCGCAGCACAACCCCAAAGGAAGAGACAUCAUGAGAAUGACGGGAAGACAGGGAGAGGGGAAAGAGGAAGUAGAAUUCAGGGACAGAAGAAUUCACAGACCACAUUCAACUGACCCAGAACAGGAAAGUGAUGCACCUGACCUGCUUUAAACUGCCUUGUUACAGUGAACCCUCCAACUCAAAGACAAGGGAGCUCGCAUCACCUGCUGAUUUAGACCCACCACCAUGGAGGGAAUUGGCCCUGUGAAGAUAGCAACGUCUUCUUUGGAUCCCAUCCUCCACAGCUCUACAAAGGUUCCGCACAAGAAGAUUUCAGUGAAACUUGAAGGUUGUGUCCAUAUGCAGACACUGAAACACUUGGAGAAAAGAGACUUUUAAAAGGCUGAGGCAGGAGGAUCAUGAAUGAGAGAGGCCAGCGUGGGCUGCAGAGCGGGUUGCUAGCCAGUAUGGUCUACCCAGCAAGACCCUGCCUCAAAAUACGUAAAAGACAAAUAAAUGCAGACCUGAGUAUUCUCUCUAUAUAAGUUUUGCACCUCCGGGCUACAUCUAUGGCCCACUGAGUUCACUGUGGGUUCCAGGCAGGUGGCAAAGGCUAGACUGUGGGACAUGCGGGGACAGAGUUGUGUCUCUUCUGUUCCUUUGGUAAAAUGUCUGGCAGGAGCAGCUCCAGGAAGGAAUGAUUUACUCUGGCUCAUGGCUUCAGAGGGAUUUAAGUCCCUCUCUGUGGGGAAGGUACUGUGUGGGUAGUUCUAAUCGUCACAUGGCAGUGCAACAGGGAGAGUGUAGAUAGAUGGGAGCCAGGGACAGACUGACCCUCAAGGGCCUGGCCCUAGUGACCUAUGUCUACCAGGCAGGCCAUACCUCCUACAGGUUCUACAGCCUUCAAAGUCAAGCUACAAGCCAAGGGCUGAGCAUUUACAGCAUGGCUCAGGGCAGGGCAGGAGGCAUGGUAGCAGGGCUGCUCUCUGCCCUAUGAGGCACUGACUUUAACUUAUCUCUUUGUCAGGAAAGAGCUUGGUCAAGCACUGUGGCACACAUCUAGAAUCCUGGCAGGCUAAGGCAGGAGGAUCUUCAGUUUAGACUGGGUUAUAAAGGAAGACCACCUCCUACCCCACACCCUGACAAGGUGGAUCUUAUAGAAGUAAGCUUCACUGGAUGGCUUGUGACAAGAGGUCAUGAGCCCAAGAAGUCAUCUUCUCUUUAUAAACAGUGCAGUAGACUUUUUGCUUUCUUUCUUUAACUCCUAAAUACAAAAGCCUACAAAAAGCCUACUUAACAUCAUAUACAGAAAUGAAUCUGGCCUUCAGAUUUCUAUUGGAUCUGGGGCAGGUAGCCAUCACACAUGAUUUUUAAAUAUAAUAUAUUGAGAUUGUGGAGAAUGGGGAAAGUCUUGAGGGGUAAAGUCCUGUGUAAAUAUGUAUUGUUUGACACGAACACAGCCAUGUCAAGGACCAAAGCCUCAGAGCUAUGGGAAAAUGCCAAAGCUUUCCAAGGCUGGGCUCAGCGGAAUGCCAAAGCCUUCCAAGGCUGGGAUCAGAGGAACGCCAAAGCCUUCCAAGGCUGGGCUCAGUGGAACACCAAAGCCUUCCAAGGCUGGGAUCAGAGGAACGCCAAAGCCUUCCCUCCUGUUCCGAGGGCCAGUGUUGAGAGUGUGUGUAGAAAAUGUCCACCAUAGCUCUGUCCCCAAGAUGUUUGCAGCCUGAAGACUGCUCUCCUACAGAGACUGCUCCUUCGGAGAUUUCCCUCCCUGUUCAGUUUUAGAGUUUCCUUCCAGUGCACUGGAGGAUUUUGAGAACCGCUUGUUGAUUUCUCAGUUAAGUCCUCUGGAGCAAGUCUUUGUCCCUUUGCUCCUCCCUGGUGUUCUGGUCUCUGGUAGGGACGCGUUUCAUUUGAAUCCCAACAUCAUAUAAUCAGUACUCUGUGAAGACUCGGUAUGUAACUUUCAUGGAAUUGAAUGUGACCUCUGAACAAUUCUUCAAGUUGGGCAGAUCUAAAUACACUCAAUUCUCUAGUGAGUCAUCUAGUGUUUUUGUGUGACGAAGAUGUCUUCUGCAUCUGUCAGGUACGUGGGUACUUUACCCAUGUAGCCUCAAUA